rnacentral:rRNA from 1 species
CUAGCGACUUCAGAGUUUGAUCCUGGCUCGAGGACGAACGCUGGCGGCGUGCCUAACACAUGCAAGUCGAACGGGAUUUAGUGGAAUGCGGCUUCGGCCAAAGGAAGCUAAGUUUAGUGGCGAACGGGUGAGUAACGCGUGAGGAACCUGCCUUUCAGUGGGGGACAACAGUUGGAAACGACUGCUAAUACCGCAUAACAUAUCUUGGGGGCAUCCCUGGGAUAUCAAAGCUUUAUGUGCUGAAAGAUGGCCUCGCGUCUGAUUAGAUAGUUGGUGGGGUAACGGCCUACCAAGUCAACGAUCAGUAGCCGGUCUGAGAGGAUGAACGGCCACAUUGGGACUGAGAUACGGCCCAG